GUAUUCGGAGCACCAUUCAGGCUGAUGCUCAUGCUGCUACUGAACUGCCCCAGACACUGGUGUCAUCUCCAUUACCUGAAGAGGACAAUGAAAUAUCUCCUUUACCUUUAUCCUGCUUCUGUGUAGCAGAGUCUCAAAUGAAUACAGACUUCAGGGUCGUGGCUCUUUGAGAAUGUCACACAGCACUUUACGCCCACAGCAUACAAUGCUUCCAGAAAGUCUAGGUCAAGGCAGCCGGACAGUACCAGGAGCCUCAGGCCCUGUCGCUGAAGCUGCCCCAUCGUGCCACACUUCACAACUUCCAAGGUAGAGUUCUCUCUGAAAACUCACAAUCUUGCCAUCUGUCUCCGUUCUCAUAUCUCAAUCUAUUCAGCUUAUCAGUCUCCAUGUGCCACUUUCCCAUGAGGCAUUUCAACAUCCAUGUAAAUCAGAAGUGAUGCAUAAACUAGGUGUCAGGAGCAUAGGGGAGCACAAGGCAUUAUCUAUUUCUGUGAGCCAUGCUUAACAUACAGCUACUCAGUACCAAAGAACUCAGUCGCUACAAUAUAGAGAUAAUUACAAACAAAUGAGUGACAUCAACGAGAUCUAAGUUGUCAUAAAUACAAUUUCAUAUUUUUUUAUGAAUGAAAAAAUAUUUAUCUUUUUUCAAAAAUUCACUUGGAAAUUAUUUUCAUGAUACAGUACCAUGAUCAUGAUUUUAUCAUACUCUCCAACAACAUCAAUAAGAAAAACCAGCUCAGGGCAGGCCCUGUGGCAUAGUGGUUAAGUCCAGCACACUCUGCUUUGGCAGCCCAGGUUCACAAUUUUGGAUCCUGGGCAUGGACUGACACCACUCGUCAAGCCACACUUUGGUGGUGAUCCACAUACAAAAUAGAUGAAGAUUAGCAAGGUGUUAGCUCAGAGUAAAUUUUCCUCAACGAAAAAAAGAAAAGAAAGCUCUCAAGCUCUGAAGCUUUUCCUAUACUCUGCUCUUCUCCCCCAAGGCCCUAACAUUCCACACACAUUCCAUGGUUGCCAGGAUGCCCUGCUUUAUUCAGCAUUACAUCACCAGAUGCUAGGAACAUAUCUGGAGUAGAGUGGACUUUUGUGACUCUGAAGUUUGGCCCAGUGUAGUCACAGUCGAUUGCUAGUAAUAUUCAGAUUGAAUCCAGAGAAGUCAACUGCAGAGUUCAAUCGCGCAAUUGUGAUGAUACAAACGUAGCCUCCUUUAUGUUAAGGAUGGCGAUACUAGAUGGUCGUCUGAGGCGAUUGAGGCCUGCUCAUCACACUUGAGUGAGCUCGAAAGCUGACCCUUCAGUCCUGGUCAAGCCAGAUGAGAUGACUGCAGAGCUGGGAGACAGCUUGACUGCCGAGACCCUGGGCCAGAAUCGCUCAGCUAGGUGGCUCUAGGAUACGGGAACUUCAGAACCUGCACGAGAUAAGAAGUAUAUUAACCUGCUAAAUUUUGAUGAAUUUGUUCACAGCAAUAAAUAACAUACAGCUAGAGACUGAACGAGAACUAUUUUCUUGGCCAUACUAGUUAAGAAUAAGUAAAAAAGAACUUGAAGACUGAUGGUAGAAUUCACUUUGUGGCAUUUGAAAUUCAUGGUGUAUGGGUAUUGGUAACAAGUGCUUAUUUCAGACUUUAGGUUUGAUCAUUGUCAAUGUGUUGUUUUGCCUUUUAUGCAACAAAGCCUCAAGUUAACAUGGCCUUAUCUGUCUGCUUUCCAUCAAAUUAUAGUUGCCUAUCUAUCUAUCCAUCUGCCCAUCUAUCCACUCAUCUACCCAUCCAGCCAUUCUCUCGUUGAUCUAUUUUUCUCUCUACAGAUUUGGACCAAGCAAACCCCAUCUGAACAUUAACAGUCAAGAUUAUUGGGUCUAGAGAGGGCAAAAUCUUCUUUCCUGACUUAUUCUAUCUUCAAGAGCUAAAUUUAUUUUUUAAUGUGCUAUUAAUUAUAUCAUGAUACUUCAUGGUGUUAAGAGGUAAAAUCAUAAUAUAAAAUCUCAGGCAAAUAAAAUGAAAAAAAAUAGUUGAAGGCAGAAAAAAACUAAGUAAAUAAUAAAAACAUGCCUAAUACAGUUUAGUCAAUCUCUAUUGAGACAGGUAUACUGUGUGACAUUUUGCUAAACAGGUGGAUUUACUUUAACCAAAUCAUAUUUUAUUAGAACUUCCCCUGUUUAGACAAUGUAAAACGAAAGUUUUAGAUUUACUGUUAAAAGUGCAGACAACCGAAUCCUAAAAUUAAAAAAUUCUUUUUACUACUAACAUAGUAACUCUUUCAGUUAUGUAUUGCUGCACAGCAAACCAACCCAAAACUUAAUUCCUUAAAACAACAACAAUGUGG
ensembl:lncRNA